AUUGAACGCUGGCGGCAGGCCUAACACAUGCAAGUCGAACGAGUGGCGGACGGGUGAGUAAUGUCUGGGAAACUGCCUGAUGGCGGGGGAUAACUACUGGAAACGGUAGCUAAUACCGCAUACCAUCAGAUGUGCCCAGAGGGGAUGAGCUAGUUGGUGGGGUAACGGCUCACCAAGGCGACGAUCCCUAGCUGGUCUGAGACGAUGACCAGCCACACUGGAACUGAGACACGGCCCAGACUCCUACGGGAGGCAGCAGUAGGGAAUCUUCGGCAAUGGACGAAAGCCUGAUACAGCCAUGCCGCGUGUAUGAAGAAGGCCUUCGGGUUGUAAAGUACUUUCAGCGGGGAGGCGUUACCCGCAGAAGAAGCACCGGCUAACUCCGUGCCAGCAGCCGCGGUAAUAC
rnacentral:rRNA from 1 species